rnacentral:rRNA from 1 species
CGCUGGCGGCGUGGAUAAGACAUGCAAGUCGAACGGGAGAAUUGCUAGCUUGCUAAUAAUUCUCUAGUGGCGCACGGGUGAGUAACACGUGAGUAACCUGCCUCUUACUGGGGGAUAGCCCUGGGAAACCGGGAUUAAUACCGCAUACGAUUGAAAGAUCAAAGCAGCAAUGCGCUAGGAGAUGGGCUCGCGGCCUAUUAAUUAGUUGGUGAGGUAACGGCUCACCAAGGCGAUGACGGGUAUCCGGUCUGAGAGGAUGUCCGGCCACACUGGAACUGAGACACGGUCCAGACACCUACCGGUGGCAGCAGUCGAGAAUCAUUCACAAUGGGGGCAACCCUGAUGGUGCGACGCCGCGUGGGGGAAUGAAGGUCUUCGGAUUGUAAACCCCUGUCAUGUGGGAGCAAAUUAAAAAGAUAGUACCACAAGAGGAAGAGACGGCUAACUCUGUGCCAGCAGCCGCGGUAAUACAGAGGUCUCAAGCGUUGUUCGGAAUCACUGGGCGUAAAGCGUGCGUAUGCUGUUUCGUAAGUCGUGUGUGAAAGGCAGGGGCUCAACCCCUGGAUUGCACAUGAUACUGCGAGACUAGAGUAAUGGAGGGGGAACCGGAAUUCUCGGUGUAGCAGUGAAAUGCGUAGAUAUCGAGAGGAACACUCGUGGCGAAGGCGGGUUCCUGGACAUUAACUGACGCUGAGGCACGAAGGCCAGGGGAGCGAAAGGGAUUAGAUACCCCUGUAGUCCUGGCAGUAAACGGUGCACGCUUGGUGUGCGGGGAAUCGACCCCCUGCGUGCCGGAGCUAACGCGUUAAGCGUGCCGCCUGGGGAGUACGGUCGCAAGAUUAAAACUCAAAGAAAUUGACGGGGACCCGCACAAGCGGUGGAGUAUGUGGCUUAAUUCGAUGCAACGCGAAGAACCUUACCUGGGCUUGACAUGUAAUGAACAACAUGUGAAAGCAUGCGACUCUUCGGAGGCGUUACACAGGUGCUGCAUGGCCGUCGUCAGCUCGUGUCGUGAGAUGUUUGGUUAAGUCCAGCAACGAGCGCAACCCCUGUUGCCAGUUACCAGCACGUCAAGGUGGGGACUCUGGCGAGACUGCCCAGAUCAACUGGGAGGAAGGUGGGGACGACGUCAGGUCAGUAUGGCCCUUAUGCCCAGGGCUGCACACGUACUACAAUGCCCAGUACAGAGGGGGCCGAAGCCGCGAGGCGGAGGAAAUCCUGAAAACUGGGCCCAGUUCGGACUGUAGGCUGCAACCCGCCUACACGAAGCCGGAAUCGCUAGUAAUGGCGCAUCAGCUACGGCGCCGUGAAUACGUUCCCGGGUCUUGUACACACCGCCCGUCACAUCAUGGAAGCCGGUCGCACCCGAAGUAUCUGAAGCCAACCGCAAGGAGGCAGGGUCCUAAGGUGAGACUGGUAAAUGG